GCUGGGCACAGUUUAGUUCCAGGUGCCUGUAGUCUCAGCUACUCAGGAGGCUGAGAUGGGAGGAUUGCUUGAGCUCAGGAGUUUAAGUUUAGCCUGGGAAAUGUAGCAAAAGUCAAUUU
rnacentral:sRNA from 1 species